UACGUAGGGUGCAAGCGUUGUCCGGAAUUACUGGGCGUAAAGCGUGCGCAGGCGGCUGCUCAAGUCAGGGGUGAAAGCCCAGAGCUCAACUCUGGAAUUGCCUUUGAGACUGAGUGGCUUGAGUACGGGAGAGGUGAGUGGAAUUCCCAGUGUAGAGGUGAAAUUCGUAGAUAUUGGGAAGAACACCGGUGGCGAAGGCGGCUCACUGGCCCGUAACUGACGCUCAUGCACGACAGCGUGGGGAUCAAACAGG
rnacentral:rRNA from 1 species